CCUACGGGAGGCAGCAGUGGGGAAUAUUGCACAAUGGGGGGAACCCUGAUGCAGCGACGCCGCGUGAGUGAAGAAGUAUUUCGGUAUGUAAAGCUCUAUCAGCAGGGAAGAAACUGACGGUACCUGACUAAGAAGCCCCGGCUAACUACGUGCCAGCAGCCGCGGUAAUACGUAGGGGGCAAGCGUUAUCCGGAUUUACUGGGUGUAAAGGGAGCGUAGACGGUUAUGCAAGUCUGAAGUGAAAGCCCACGGCUCAACCAUGGGACUGCUUUGGAAACUGUAAAACUGGAGUGCAGGAGAGGUAAGCGGAAUUCCUAGUGUAGCGGUGAAAUGCGUAGAUAUUAGGAGGAACACCAGUGGCGAAGGCGGCUUACUGGACUGUAACUGACGUUGAGGCUCGAAGGCGUGGGGAGCAAACAGGAUUAGAUACCCGAGUAGUC
rnacentral:rRNA from 1 species